AUGAAGCAUAAUCGUGGGUUAGUUGGGAAUAGUUGUUACUCCUCCUCGACAUAUGGAGAAGUAUGUCAGUCAGAUGGUGCACACUGGAAGGAUUGUACCUCCAGUACUUUAGGAGAGAGAGUACUCUGUACCCAGAGGCAUGGAGCUGUUUCCAUCCUGCUUGCACUGUUACUGCUAUACCUGCUGCUAGUUAACAAAGAAAGAAGAAAAUGAGAAGGAAGAAGAGAGGGAUCAGUCUUCACCCAAAGUUUCCCAACUUCUGUCUUCUAAUGUGACUGCCUAUAGAGAGAGAGAAAUGAAGUUCAGAAGAAAGACUGUAAACCCACUGAGUGGGAGAAGAAUGCUAUGCUCUGAAGAAAGUAGCCUUUUAGUAAUUAUUAUUUAUUGGAAUCAUGCAGGCAGUACUGGCUCCAGAUGUAUUUCCUGAAGCUGGUAUCAGAAAAGGUGUCAACAUUUGUGUAAUAAUACUGCAUUUUAUCAACCUGCAUUUUAUUUCCCCCAUUUAAAAAUAGAAACCCUCCUUUUACUUACAUAAUGAAAAUAUAAUCUUUCAUAGUGGAUUCUAUGUAAUAAAAAAUACUGAUUUGCAAUCAAUGAAUUACACAAUUAUAUCUUUAUGAAGAUUUUAUAAGGGCUUUAAUACAUUUUAGGUCUCUCCCCUGAGGUGCAUAAACUAAGCAUGUUAUAGUGUGAAUACUGUUUUAAUGCAAAACAAUCACCAACCAAGAACCGCUGAAAGGAAAUGAGAGAGAAGUCCACAUUGAGUAAUUAUCUAUAUUUACAAUUCAUUUUAAUCACCUUGACCAUUCAAUUACAGCAUAUUUAUUUCAUCCUCACCACAUAUUUACAAAGGAGUUACAUGCCGAAACUGAAAAACAGAACUACAUUAUCUAACUAAUGAGUAAAGCUUCAGGGACAGAAAUUGAGAAUAAAAAAUCAAGGUCAGUGUGUCCAAACUCAAAUAGAGAAAGUAUUACACAUCCCUAAAAGUUUGGACACAAAGCAAGGUGAAGGCCUCUUCUAUUUCCCUUUCUUACUCUUUCCAAAACCUCUCACCAAAAUGAAUUUAUUUUGUAUUGCAUACACCAAGGCUAUGUUUAUGUUACAUGAAGAGCUGAUUUGCAAUGUGAGACGCAUAUUUAUCGGCUUAUUAGAAAUGGUUAAGAUUGUCCUUUGACUUCAGAUUUUUCACUUUUCCUUUGACAAUUUGAUCCAAUCUAUAUCAUACCUUACCUUUUGGCUGUUAGCACUGAUAGCAUCCCUUUUAUUGGACUCCUGAUGAUGCCUACUGAUGUUUUAUGCAUAAUGAUGCUCAAAUUUAAUUGAGCUGUAAGCUUCAGUUUAAUUAUGGA
rnacentral:lncRNA from 1 species